AGUGAACGCUGGCGGUAGGCCUAACACAUGCAAGUCGAACGGCAGCACAGUAAGUGCUUGCUCUUACGGGUGGCGCGUGGCGGACGGGUGAGGAAUACAUCGGAAUCUACUUUUUCGUGGGGGCUAACGUAGGGAAACUUACGCUAAUACCGCAUACGACCUACGGGUGAAAGCAGGGGAUCUUCGGACGUUGCGCGAUUGGAUGAGCCGAUGUCGGCUUAGCUAGUUGGCUGGGUAAAGGCCCACCAAGGCGACGAUCCGUAGCUGGUCUGAGAGGAUGAGCAGCGAGACUGGGAGUGAGACACGGACCAGACUCCGCCGGGAGGCAGCAGUGGGGAAUAUUGGAAAAUGGGCGAAAGCAUGAUACAGCAAUGCCGCGUGAGUGAUGAAGGCCUUAGGGUUGUAAAGCUAUUUUAACCGGGAUGAUAAUGACAGUACCGGGAGAAUAAGCUCCGGCUAACUCCGUG
rnacentral:rRNA from 1 species